GACGAACGCUGGCGGCGUGCUUAACACAUGCAAGACGAACGAUGAAGUCCCUUCGGGAAUGGAUUAGUGGCGAACGGGUGAGGAACACGUGAGAAACCUGCCUUUCAUUUUGGGAUAACUCCGGGAAACCUGGGCUAACACCGAAUACUCCGUCCCGGCGGCAUCGCUGAGCCGGGAAAAAAUUUUGAUGAAAGAUGGUCUCGCGGCCUAUCAGCUAGUUGGUGAGGUAAUGGCUCACCAAGGCAACGACGGGUAGCCGGCCUGAGAGGGCGACCGGCCACACUGGGACUGAGACACGGCCCAGACUCCUACGGGAGGCAGCAGUGGGGAAUAUUGGGCAAUGGGCGCAAGCCUGACCCAGCGACGCCGCGUGAGGGAUGAAGGCCUUCGGGUUGUAAACCUCUUUCAGUAGGGAAGAAGCGAAAGUGACGGUACCUAAAGAAGAAGCACCGGCUAACUAUGUGCCAGCAGCCGCAGUAA
rnacentral:rRNA from 1 species